GAUGAACGCUGGCGGCGUGCCUAAUACAUGCAAGUCGAGCGAACGGACGAGAAGCUUGCUUCUCUGAUGUUAGCGGCGGACGGGUGAGUAACACGUGAAUAACCUACCUAUAAGACUGGGAUAACUUCGGGAAACCGGAGCUAAUACCGGAUGAUAUUUUGAACCGCAUGGUUCAAAAGUGAAAGACGGUCUUGCUGUCACUUAUAGAUGGAUCCGCGCUGCAUUAGCUAGUUGGUAAGGUAACGGCUUACCAAGGCAACGAUGCAUAGCCGACCUGAGAGGGUGAUCGGCCACACUGGAACUGAGACACGGUCCAGACUCCUACGGGAGGCAGCAGUAGGGAAUCUUCCGCAAUGGGCGAAAGCCUGACGGAGCAACGCCGCGUGAGUGAUGAAGGUCUUCGGAUCGUAAAACUCUGUUAUUAGGGAAGAACAUAUGUGUAAGUAACUGUGCACAUCUUGACGGUACCUAAUCAGAAAGCCACGGCUAACUACGUG
rnacentral:rRNA from 1 species